rnacentral:sRNA from 1 species
UUUUUUUGGGACGGAGUCUUGUUCUUUUGCCCAGGCUGGAGUGCAGUGGUGUGAUCUCGGCUCACUGCAACCUCUGCCUCAGCGAUUCUCCUGCCUCAACCUCCCGAGUAGGUGGGAUUACAGGUGUGUGCCACCACACCCGGCUAAUUUUUUUUGUAUUUUUAGUAGAGGCAGGUUUCACCGUGUUGGCCAGGCUGGUCUAAAACUCUUGACCUCAGGUGAUCUGCCCGCCUUGGCCUCCCAAAGCGCUGGGAUUACAGGCGUGAGCCACCAUGCCCGGCCCUUGUAGGGUUCUUGAUGUUGACCCAAGGUGGAGUUCCUGGGGUACCCAGAGCCUUGAGUGGAGAAAGGGGAGAAGUGAGGACCCUGUGACUGUCUUUGCAGAGUGCUGGCCUGCCCAGGAGGUACAUGCUGCGGGAGCGAGAGGGGGCCCCAGAGCCUGCAUCCUGCGUGAAGGAGACUCCAGACCCCUGGCAGAGCCUGGACCCCUUUGACUCCCUGGAGUCUAAGCCCUUCAAGAAAGGUAGGCCUUACUCUGUGCCCCCCUGUGUGGAGGAGGCUCUGGGACAGAAGCGCAAGAGGAAGGGCGCUGCCAAGUUGCAGGACUUCCACCAGUGGUACCUGGCUGCCUAUGCUGACCAUGCUGACAGCAGGAGGCUUCGGCGAAAGGGUCCGUCCUUUGCAGACAUGGAGGUCCUGUACUGGACACACGUGAAGGAGCAGUUGGAAACUCUCCGGAAGCUGCAGAGGAGGGAGGUGGCUGAGCAGUGGCUGCGGCCUACAGAGGAGGACCACCUGGAGGAUUCCCUGGAAGACCUGGGGGCAGCAGAUGACUUUCUAGAGCCUGAGGAGUAUGUGGAACCCGAGGGAGUAGACCCCAGGGAAGCUGCUGGCCUUG